AGAGUUUGAUCCUGGCUCAGGAUGAACGCUAGCGGCAGGCUUAACACAUGCAAGUCGAGGGGUAGAGGUUGCUUGCAACCUUGAGACCGGCGCACGGGUGCGUAACGCGUAUGCAACCUACCUUUUACAGAGGGAUAGCCCAGAGAAAUUUGGAUUAAUACCUCAUAGUAUAUAUCUUUCGCAUGUUAGGUAUAUUAAAGUUCCAACGGUAAAAGAUGGGCAUGCGUCCUAUUAGCUAGAUGGUAAGGUAACGGCUUACCAUGGCUACGAUAGGUAGGGGUCCUGAGAGGGAGAUCCCCCACACUGGUACUGAGACACGGACCAGACUCCUACGGGAGGCAGCAGUGAGGAAUAUUGGACAAUGGGCGCAAGCCUGAUCCAGCCAUGCCGCGUGCAGGAAGAAGCAUCUAUGGUGUGUAAACUGCUUUUGUACAGGAAGAAACAUCCCGACGUGUCGGGACUUGACGGUACUGUAAGAAUAAGGAUCGGCUAACUCCGUGCCAGCAGCCGCGGUAAUACGGAGGAUCCAAGCGUUAUCCGGAAUCAUUGGGUUUAAAGGGUCCGUAGGCGGUUUGGUAAGUCAGUGGUGAAAGCCCGCAGCUCAACUGUGGAACGGCCAUUGAUACUGCCAGACUUGAAUUACGAGGAAGUAGCUAGAAUAUGUAGUGUAGCGGUGAAAUGCUUAGAUAUUACAUGGAAUACCAAUUGCGAAGGCAGGUUACUACUUGUGGAUUGACGCUGAUGAACGAAAGCGUGGGGAGCGAACAGGAUUAGAUACCCUGGUAGUCCAA
rnacentral:rRNA from 1 species